rnacentral:rRNA from 1 species
UACGUAGGGGGCAAGCGUUGUCCGGAAUUAUUGGGCGUAAAGAGCGUGUAGGCGGCUCGUCAAGUCCGGUGUGAAAUCUCGGGGCUCAACCCCGAAACUGCAUUGGAAACUGUCGAGCUAGAGUCCGGAAGGGGAGAUUGGAAUUCCUGGUGUAGCGGUGAAAUGCGCAGAUAUCAGGAAGAACACCCGUAGCGAAGGCGGAUCUCUGGGACGGUACUGACGCUGAGACGCGAAAGCGUGGGGAGCAAACAGG